rnacentral:rRNA from 1 species
GACGAACGCUGGCGGCGGGCUUAACACAUGCAAGUCGAACGGUGAAGCGCCUUCCUUUUUGUUUGGUGUGGAUGGGUGGCGGACGGGUGAGUAACACGUGAGUAACCUGCCCCCUUCUUCUGGAUAACCUCAUGAAAGUGUGGCUAAUACGGGAUAUUCUGUGUCUGUCGCAUGAUGGGUUUUGGGAAGCUAUUGUUUCUGUGUGGGAUGGGCUCGCGGCCUAUCAGCUUGUUGGUGGGGUGAUGGCCUACCAAGGCGGUGACGGGUAGCCGGCCUGAGAGGGUGGACGGCAAAAGUGGGAAGGAGAGACGGAGAAGACUACGAGAGGAGGCAGCAGUGAGGAAUAGUGCACAAUGGGAGCAAGGAUGAUGCAGCGACGCCGCGUGAGGGAAGGAGGCCGGCGGGUUGAGAACCUCUUUCGGGAGUGAAGAAGGGCUGCCUCGUAUGUGGGUGGGCUGACGGUAGCUAGAUAAGAAGCGCCGGCUAACUACGUG